GACCUUUCACAAUAUAGUAUUUUUUGUAUCAAACCUUUAUCCCACUUUCCUAAUAAAGUUUAUUCGCUUUAGAUAAAAAAAAAAACUGAGAUCGGAUUUUGAGUGACUUCGGAAUUUUAAAAAUAAAUUCGAAUAUUAUGAUUUCGUAUUUAUUUCGUAGUGAAAAGUUAUGUUCUUCUGACUUAUCAAAGAAAGUAAGAAAAAUACUACAUAGACGUUGCUCACUUGUUUCCCGAGAUUAUUGAAAAGUGAUUAUCCACCUUUAGAUAAUAGGAGGAGGACAUUGACUCAAGCAGUGUAAACAGUUCCUUAUCUCAAGCUUCGCUGCAACGCCGCCGACGAGUCACUCGCAGCUUUUAUCUAAAACAAAAUUGUUGUUGGUAGAUAUUUUAAACACAAGUUUAUUGUCGACUCGUUGCUAAGUAAAGGUACAUUUUGUGUUUAUGUUUGUGUGGUAGUUGCUGCGAAAUAAGGUCAAUAAUUAAUUAUGGUUAGCGAAUAAAAAUGAAUUACAAUAUUGGCACA